rnacentral:rRNA from 1 species
AUUGAACGCUGGCGGCAUGCCUUACACAUGCAAGUCGAACGGUAACAGGUCUUCGGAUGCUGACGAGUGGCGAACGGGUGCGUAAUACAUCGGAACGUGCCCAGACCUGGUGGAUAACGAGGCGAAAGCUUUGCUAAUACCUCAUACGAUCUAAGGAUGAAGGCCGGGGACCGCAAGGCCUUGCGCGUUUGGAGCGGCCGAUGGCAGAUUAGGUAGUUGGUGGGAUAAAAGCUUACCAAGCCGACGAUCUGUAGCUGGUCUGAGAGGACGACCAGCCACACUGGGACUGAGACACGGCCCAGACUCCUACGGGAGGCAGCAGUGGGGAAUUUUGGACAAUGGGCGAAAGCCUGAUCCAGCAAUGCCGCGUGCAGGAUGAAGGCCUUCGGGUUGUAAACUGCUUUUGUACGGAAAGAAAAGGAUCUGGCUAAUACCUGGGGCACAUGACGGUACCGUAAGAAUAAGCACCGGCUAACUACGUG